rnacentral:rRNA from 1 species
UGAAUACGAGAUGCUACGGCGUCGAAGCAGUCUAUGUCAUACUUCCAAGAAAAGCUUGCACUGUCAUAAACAAAUAAUGCCUGUACCAUAACCGACACAGGUGGGUAGGUAGAGUAUACUAAGGGGCGCGAGAUAACUCUCUCUAAGGAACUCGGCAAAAUGACUCCGUAACUUCGGGAGAAGGAGUGCCUUAUUUAUAAGGUUGCAAUAACAAGAUCCAAGCAACUGUUUACCAAAAACACAGGUCUCCGCUAAGUCGUAAGACGAUGUAUGGGGGCUGACGCCUGCCCAGUGCCAGAAGGUUAAAGAAGUUGGUUAGCAUCCGCGAAGCUGAUAACUGAAGCCCUGGUGAACGGCGGCCGUAACAAUAACGGUCCUAAGGUAGCGAAAUUCCUUGUCGGGUAAGUUCCGACCCGCACGAAAGGCGUAAUGAUUUGGAUACUGUCUCGGAGAGGGGCUCGGUGAAAUAGACUUGUCUGUGAAGAUGCGGACUACCUGCACCAGGACAGAAAGACCCUAUGAAGCUUUACUGUAACCUGAAAUUGAAAUUGGACUUUACUUGCGCAGUAUAGGUGGGAGGCGUUGAGAAUAUUCUUGCGGGAUUAUUGGAGCCAUCAGUGAGAUACCACUCUUGUAAUGUUAGAUUUCUAACUUUGUAUCAUUAUCUGGUCAAAGAACAGUUUCAGGCGGGCAGUUUGACUGGGGCGGUCGCCUCCUAAACGGUAACGGAGGCGCACAAAGGUUUCCUCUGAACGGGUAGAAAUCGUAUCUAGAGUGUAAAGGCAUAAGGAAGCUUGACUGAGAGACCUACAAGUCGAGCAGGGACGAAAGUCGGUCUUAGUGAUCUGACGGUGCUGAGUGGAAAGGCCGUCACUCAACGGAUAAAAGUUACUCUAGGAUAACAGGCUGAUCUCCCCCAAGAGUUCACAUCGACGGGGAGGUUUGGCACCUCGAUGUCGGCUCAUCGCAUCCUGGGGCGGUAGUACGUCCCAAGGGUUGGGCUGUUCGCCCAUGAAAGCGGUACGCGAGCUGGGUUCAGAACGUCGUGAGACAGUUCGGUCCAUAUCCGGUGUAGGCGUUAGAAUAUUGAGAGGAGCCUUCUUUAGUACGAGAGGACCGAGAAGGACAUACCUCUGGUGUACCAGUUAUCGUGCCAACGGUAAACGCUGGGUAGCUAUGUGUGGAGUGGAUAACCGCUGAAAGCAUCUAAGUGGGAAGCCCACCUCAAGAUAAGUAUUCUC